GACGAACGCUGGCGGCGUGCUUAACACAUGCAAGUCGAACGGAAAGGCCCUGCUUUUGUGGGGUGCUCGAGUGGCGAACGGGUGAGUAACACGUGAGUAACCUGCCCUUGACUUUGGGAUAACUUCAGGAAACUGGGGCUAAUACCGGAUAGGAGCUCCUGCUGCAUGGUGGGGGUUGGAAAGUUUCGGCGGUUGGGCAUGGACUCGCGGCUUAUCAGCUUGUUGGUGGGGUAGUGGCUUACCAAGGCUUUGACGGGUAGCCGGCCCGAGAGGGUGACCGGCCACAUUGGGACUGAGAUACGGCCCAGACUCCUACGGGAGGCAGCAGUGGGGAAUAUUGCACAAUGGGCGGAAGCCUGAUGCAGCAACGCCGCGUGCGGGAUGACGGCCUUCGGGUUGUAAACCGCUUUCGCCUGUGACGAAGCGUGAGUGACGGUAAUGGGUAAAGAAGCACCGGCUAACUACGUG
rnacentral:rRNA from 1 species